UACGUAGGGUGCAAGCGUUUGUCCGGAAUUAUUGGGCGUAAAGAGCUCGUAGGCGGUCUGUCGCGUCUGCUGUGAAAACUCGGGGCUUAACCCCGGGCCUGCAGUGGGUACGGGCAGACUAGAGUGCGGUAGGGGAGACUGGAAUUUACGGUGUAGCGGUGAAAUGCGUAGAUAUCGUAAGGAAGACCAGUGGCGAAGGCGGGUCUCUGGACAGUUCCUGACGCUGAGGCACGAAGGCCAGGGGAGCAAACGGG
rnacentral:rRNA from 1 species